rnacentral:tRNA from 1 species
GCGCCCGUAGCUCAGUGGAUAGAGCACCAGCCUCCGGAGCUGGGGGUCGCAGGUUCGAUACCUGCCGGGCGCGCCA